rnacentral:rRNA from 1 species
UUAAUUGAAGAGUUUGAUCAUGGCUCAGAUUGAACGCUGGCGGCAGGCCUAACACAUGCAAGUCGAGCGGCAGCACAGAGGAACUUGUUCCUUGGGUGGCGAGCGGCGGACGGGUGAGUAAUGCCUGGGAAAUUGCCCGGUAGAGGGGGAUAACCAUUGGAAACGAUGGCUAAUACCGCAUAACCUCGCAAGAGCAAAGCAGGGGACCUUCGGGCCUUGCGCUACCGGAUAUGCCCAGGUGGGAUUAGCUAGUUGGUGAGGUAAGGGCUCACCAAGGCGACGAUCCCUAGCUGGUCUGAGAGGAUGAUCAGCCACACUGGAACUGAGACACGGUCCAGACUCCUACGGGAGGCAGCAGUGGGGAAUAUUGCACAAUGGGCGCAAGCCUGAUGCAGCCAUGCCGCGUGUAUGAAGAAGGCCUUCGGGUUGUAAAGUACUUUCAGUAGGGAAGAAGGUGGUUAAGUUAAUACCUUAAUCAUUUGACGUUACCU